rnacentral:tRNA from 1 species
GAGUGUAUAGCUCAGUGGUAGAGCAUAUGCUUAGCAUGCAUAAGGUCCUGGGUUCAAUCCCCAGAACCUCCA